GAACGCUGGCGGCAGGCCUAACACAUGCAAGUCGAGCGGAUGAAGGGAGCUUGCUCCUGGAUUCAGCGGCGGACGGGUGAGUAAUGCCUAGGAAUCUGCCUGGUAGUGGGGGAUAACGUCCGGAAACGGGCGCUAAUACCGCAUACGUCCUGAGGGAGAAAGUGGGGGAUCUUCGGACCUCACGCUAUCAGAUGAGCCUAGGUCGGAUUAGCUAGUUGGUGGGGUAAAGGCCUACCAAGGCGACGAUCCGUAACUGGUCUGAGAGGAUGAUCAGUCACACGGGAACUGGGACACGGUCCAGACUCCAACGGGGGGCGGAGGUGGGGAAUAUUGGACAUUGGGCGAAAGCCUGAUCCAGCCAUGCCGCGGGGGUGAAGAAGGUCUUCGGAUUGUAAAGCACUUUAAGUUGGGAGGAAGGGCAUUAAGUUAAUACCUUGCUGUUUGGACGUUACCAACAGAAUAAGCACCGGCUAACUUCGU
rnacentral:rRNA from 1 species